ensembl:lncRNA
GAUUCAUUUAUUUACAAUUUAAUUUGACACUCAGAAUUACACAAGGAAUUUAUGAGGAACAGAAAUAAAAAAAAAAAAAAAACAAAAAAACAAAAAAACAACUAAAAUGACAAACCAGUAUGUAUAACGACCAAAACCAAAUAAAUCCUGCAGUGACCUCUUGUUGUGAAUCUCGACAGGACUGGGUUUGAUAAUGGGCACCAAUUUGCACUUUAGUGCAAAAAGACUGAAUUACGGUCGCAUUGCAGUAAAAAUGUUAUAUUGCAUAUUGUCUUCAAUUUUACAGCUGUGCUCAAUUUGAUAUUUUAUGAAGCUAUUUUAAUCAGUUAAUAAAGCUGAAAAUGCAUUAAGUUCUUAAAGUGCUUUAUAAAAACAACAUACAAAACAACAAUGCACAUGGACUAAAAUUAAGAUCUGAAAAUAAACAUGAUGAAACCACGAAAUAGUGCAAAUAGACUACAGUGCAAAUGAAAUAUGAUGAAACAGACUAUGGAGCAAAUGCAUUUACAGUUGAAUAAGAGUGACACUAGCUGAGAAAUAUAAAUGCUUAUCUGUAAUAGACAGCAUAAUGUGUAUAACUAUAAAUUCACACAGAUAUUCCCAAUAACUGAUUUGGUGCAAUUCUGUGUGAAUGCAAUUACCUGAGCUAAACUACUGAGAUAUAUAAAAAAAUAAACAUAUAUACACUUUUGCUGGGCAAAGAUUAAUCGCAAUUAAUUGCAUCCAAAUGUAACGGUUAAUCCACUGAACAGCAAGUUGUGAUGAACCCAAGUGCAGCUUUAUUAACCAACAUAAACAAAUACAAAAACAAACAACUGACUUGACUAUGGCUUGACUUGGCAUGAACAGACUCACUGUCAGCAAGGGUUACAACAUCAAUACUUGACCAACGACAUGGGCAGCAUGAGGGCUAUUUAUGUCAAACCAUGCAGGUCACAUGACAAGAAACAACCAAUGAGAGACAAGACACAUGACCCAAAGAACCAAUCAGAACAUAACACACCCACAAGGGAAUCACAUGAUAAAACAAGACUGUGGCCAAACUACAAAAUAAAAGAUAUAAGAGCAAUGAACAUGAAUCACUAACAAAACCCAAACCCCACAUUACACCAAAAUAAAGGUUUUUGUUUACAUAAAAUAUGUGUGUGUGUGUGUGCGCUGUAUAUAUUUAUUAUAUAUAAAUACACACACACACAUACAGUUUAUAUUUUGGAAAUAUUCAAUUUAAUUAUAUUCAUUUAAUUUAUAUUAUAUAUAAAUAUAUUUAAUAUAAAAACAUAACAUAUUUUUCUUAAAUAUAUACAUGCAUCACACACACAUAUAUUAGGUAAACUAAAAACUUUAUUUUGGAUGUGAUUAAUUGCGAUUAAUCGUUGCCCAGCACUGAAUACACUAUGUUUGAUUCUUAUUUAUGUGUGAUACCUUGGAAUUUCUGUGAUUUAAAUCCUUCUGUGUUAUUUCACAAAACUUUUUUUUUUUUUUUGGUCUUCUUUGUCGUGUUAUAUACAGAAUUAUGUAUCUUAAUUCUCAAUGUGUCUGAAUCUGUGUGUGGUAACUGUAAUCUUGUACUACUUUUUUUUGUGUAAACUGUAUAUUUAUAUGCUUAUGUGCUUAUAUGUGACCCUGGACCACAAAACCAGUCUUAAGUGUCAAUUUUUCAAAAUUGAGAUUUAUACAUCAUCUGAAAUCUGAUUAAAUAAGCUUUCCAUUGAUGUAUGGUUUGUUAGGAUAGGGCAAUAUUUGGCCGAUAUACAACUAUUUGAAUAUCUGGAAUCUAAGGAUGCCAAAAAAUCAAAAUAUUGAGAAAAUCGCCUUUAAAGUUGUCCAAAUGAAUUGUUAACAAUGCACAUUACUAAUCAAAAAUAAGUUUUGAUAUAUUUAUGGUAGGAAAUUUACAAAAUAUCUUCAUGGAACAUGAUUUUUACUUAAUAUCCUAAUGAUUUUUGGCAUAAAAUGUUUUUUUGGCUAUUGCUAAAAAUAUACCCCAGCGACUAAAGACUGGUUUUGUGGUCCAGGGUCACAUAUGCUUUCAUAUUAUAAGAUUAUUAUAUUUUUUUAUUUUAAUCACUUUAAAGUUGAAGUGUGUUAGGCUAUUUCUUCACCAGUAACUUGUGGAAAUACUUCAGUGUGAAAUUAGUUAGGUAUUUGGUUUUGUCUUUCAGGAAUUGAUGUGAUGGUAUAAAGUGGCGUUUCUGAUUGAAAUAGAGUCGGAUCUGAAUGAGAGUUGCAGUGGUUUAUCUGCGAUCUGAAUCUCCUUUGAGGAGUAUUUUGACGUAGUUGCAGGUUAAAAGGUCAAAAUCAUUGGUGUGGUUUUUGAGGCGUCAGUUUUGGAGGUACUCUUGCAUUACAAAUAAUGUGUGUGUACAUUUUUUGGGCGGAGUACCAAGUAUCCCUAUACAUUACAUUUAAUACAUGAACCUGCAUUAGAUUAACUGUUUUAACUAUUGGCAAGGUUUUUUAGAAAGACUGCAUUGCCUUCAAUGACUAAACAGCCAUUUGAUUAUUAUGGUGCUUAUUGUUUCCCAGAUUUCCUUAUUCUUUCUCUUUGUCAGUCUGUUUCUUCACUUCUUCGUAUGGACUGUCCUCCACUGUCACGGCCUCAUAAUCUUUGUCUUUCUGAGGAAGCUGCUCAUACCCUCCCUCUGCUUCUCCUGCUGGCUUUUUUGAGUCGUCUGAACUCAGUGUCUGGUACACAUCGGCUUUGACGCUCUUAAGAGCCUCGUACCCACCUUUACCUUCACUCUGACCCUCUCCAGGUCCUUCAGGUCCUACUGUGUGGUACACCCCCUCCUCCUCCCUCUUUUGUAGGGGUUCGUAACCCCCCUCGGCCCGGUCCUUGCUCGUGCUCUCGCCCAGGGUGUGGUAAACCGCCUUAUCCUUGUCCUUGAGUUGGAUUUGCUCAUAGUCUCCACCUGUCUUCUUGUCUUUAUCCCGUUCGGUCUCCUGGAUGGCGCUUCCUCCACGUCUGCGUUUUAGCGCGAUCAGCAAGACGAUCAACAGCCCGAGAAAGAUCAGAAUCGCUGCCAACAAGAUGGGCAUCAAGUGUGCAGUAUCUGAGAAAGAAAGAGGAUGCAAAUUCAUUCUAAAAACUAAAAUGAGAAGUAGUGUGCUUGCACAGUCAUCAAGUAAGAAUUGAAAAUGACUAGUGCAUUUAUACUUUGCUACACUCUACAUGAAUAUGCACGGAAAAUAAAAGAGACCGCAAAGCUUUGCGUGCUUGUGUUUUGGCCUGAAACUUUUGGGUGUCACAGGCAUUUUGAAAAUCGUUUCUGCUGUUAAUUACCACAGAAAAUAGUCUACACUCAUCCCUCAUCUUGCAAGAACAAAUAAAAAUCGUGUUUAUGGCAGGGUUAUUACUGUUAUAUUCAAAUUAAAACCAUAAAAACAUAUUUUGUUACUUGAAAUAAAACUAAAACUUAUUUUAAAUAUUUGCCAAAUUAAUAAUUUAAAAUAAUUUCAUUCAUUCAUUUACAUUUAUAAAUAACGAAUAUAAAUGACAAACAACAACAUAACGAAAACCUUAACUAAAAUGAAAUAAUAAUAAUAGUAAUAAUAAUUAAUAAAAACAGUAAUAAAAUGAAAGUCUAAAGAGCAUGUUUGUGUGUGUGUAUGAGUACCUUUGUAGAUGUAGACGUUGCUGAAACGUGAGAAACCUUUCCCACACUCCUUCCUGCAUUUGUACUGUCCUACGUCUUUUACAGUGAUUAACCCAUUACUUUCAGAUAGUUUUUUGCGCGUGAAUGGGUCAUUUAAGGGUGUGUGAUACCAGUGGUAGGAUGUGCAGUUGGCAGGACAGUCAGGGCAGGAACACUGCAGACCGUUACUAGACUCUGAAAUCACAGCAGCAGGAGGUCCACCUGUACAACACAGAAAUAAAGACUGUGGAGCACUGAUGAUUUCAGACAAAUAUGGUAUUCAUAUACAGUGGUAUUUACACAGUGCCUUUGUUUCAUACUGGAUUGUAACUGGUCCAAAUUAGGCAGAAAAAACCCAAUUAACAAUUUCCCCCUUUAUUAAAGCAAGAAACCAAGAAAGGCAGUAAAUUUGUGAUUUUUAUGCACAAUGCAAAUUUAAUGAGAAUUUCAGAUAUUUAUAUUUAUUACACAAUGAUAAUCAGGUGUUUUUGUGAAUUUGUAUCCGUAAGUACACAUAAUAUGAGUGUUAAUUGUGUUAAUUCAGUGGUUGUUUUGAAGCUUAACGGGUGGCACACAUGGGUUAAAUAACUAGUGGACGCACAUCCUGAUUAGACCUGAUUCUAUCAAAUGCGUUAAUGUAACCGUUCUGACAGAAUCAGUGAGUGAUUUGUUAGACCAAUUCAAACUGAAGAGUGAUUCUGACUUGUAAGCUUGUCAGUCAUUAAUUCUG